rnacentral:lncRNA from 1 species
AGGAAGGAUCAAGGAGCAAUCUUCAUAAGGACCUUUGGACAAUCAUCAAAGGAGGUUCAACAAUUUCCACUCGUGGAUUCAGGUUAGCUUCCGCUCAUGUAGUUGUAAUUCCGAAUUGUUCAAUAUGAAUUUUAUUGUAUUUUAAUAGGAAUCAUAUUUCUAACAUGAGUUGCUUCUGUUUAAUCUUUCAGGUGCUACAAGAAGGCAAUGUGAAGAAGAAAGAACUCAAGAAACGAGCGAUGGCUUUAAAGAUUUUGGGAAAAGUAGGUAGGAUUAAGAAUAACUUGUGAAGUGUUGCGCCAAGUCCAGAAGUAUCAAAUCUCGUUUAACUUUCUAAUACUAAUUAUAGUCUCAUAGACAGGAAAUUUUGUUAGUCAUUAAGCUUAUAGUUGAUGAUGUUUCAUAUCUACUUAUAUUCUGCAGAGGGAGAAGUGCGGACAAGGUGUUGGGACGUCGAAAAAGAAGACAAUAGUUGAUAUAAAUGCAGAGGAAACCAGUUCUGAUAGCAGUGAUGAUGAGGAAGACUCACCAAGAACAAUAAAUUAUAGAACUCCUCUACUCACACAGGUUAACCUUUUGCUUUCGU